GAUCCUUGUGGGCCGCGUGUUCACUUAGUUUUAAAAUGUAACAUUAUCUAUGUUUUAUUAUAUUUUUAUUUAUUUUAUAAGUAUUUGGCAAUUAAAUUUUAAUCUGGUUCAGGCCACACUCAGGAGUGUUGUGGGCCUCAUGUAGCCCCUGGGGAUAAUAAUCAUCACAGUACCAACUUCAUAGGAUUGUUGUGAAGAAAAUACUUUCUAAACUUCAGCAAGGUAUAAGUCUGAAAGUCAAGAGAUCUGGGUUGUGGUCCUACUCUGGCUACUAAAUUAUUAGUGUGACUUUGGAUGUGGAGGUGUUCCCCAUGGGACCUGGGAAUUUGAGCCAUGGUGACCUUGGAGCCAGGAUUACAGGGAUCUAAGACAUCUCCAGAGGCCUCGUGAUGGAAAAUGC